rnacentral:tRNA from 1 species
GCUGGGGUUGUGGCUCAGCGGUAGAGUGUUUGCCUACCAUGUGCGAGGCCCUGGGUUUGAUCCUCAGCACAGCA